ACUGGAGCCGCGCCGGGGUUCGGGGGAGGGUUGUUGGUUUGGUGGAGGGAGGCUGGAGAUACAACGAGAAGCGGGGAGAUUGGGUGCUGGGUCAGUGCCAACGCCUCGCCCCUCCCCUUCACCGAGUCCGCCCCACAGCGUGGGAUUUUACAACCCAAGUCCCUGGGAGGUGUUGAAGGGUGGAAGGACCGGCGGGCACGUUUCCUGGGGGGAGGGGCGCGCUAAUCGCGCUGGGGACUGAGAGCCAGAUUCCUUCUUUCUUCUUGCCCUUGGCCCUGCGCUCAGACGCCGGCGUUUCCUCUCGCGGAGCACCUCGUCCCUGCCUCCCCUUCACCUACCCGCUUCUCUAGGUCAGGAAUUCUAACAGUUUCGAUAGGUGGUUCUGGCUUGGAGGGUUCUCUCAGGAGGUUGUAGCGAGAUGUCAGCUGAAGCCUUGUGAAGACUUGACGCAUCAUGGAGGAUCCGUUUCCAAGGGGUCAUUCACAUGGCUGGCACAAUUGACGCAGUACUUCUCAAGUUCCUUGUGGUUGGAAGGAGCCAUGACAUUAAUUCUGGCUAAUGAAAUAUGAGCAGAAGUAACAUAUAUGGGAUUCACCAGUUUCUCCUUUUUCUUCCACCACCUCCUUCUGGCCAUGUGUUCCAGAUGGUACGGCUACAAGCUGGUGGAAACUUCAUCUGCCUGAGUCCUUCAGUAAACUAUGUGGAACAGAGUUUUUAAUUUACAUGGAGUAUGGAUUGAGAAGAAGAAAUAAAUGUGUGUUAAUUCACUGAGAUCUGGUGGUGGUUUGUUAAACAGAAAAGGCAAAUGUGUUCUAAAACGAAGUGACAUUGUUCUGUAAUGGAGUUUGUCCAAGACCACCUUUGUCCUUGCUUACUUAGUUGAUGGCUGCUGACUGCCUUAGAGAAUUAAGUACAUAUGGAGGCUGGUAAUGUAGUAAGUUGUCUUUAUUUUGUGAUAAUGGUUGGAUGAGCACCUAAUAAACAUAUUUAAGUAAAUAAAUCUUUACUUUGAGACAGAAACAUCAGGGGAAUCUUCUCCUCACCAAUUAGACUUCGAAUCUUGAAACUGAGCAGAGCCCAGUAGGGCUCCUGGGCACAAAAGCCUAGGUCCCCCAUUGUUUUUUAGGAGAUAGGCUUCAUUCAGCCUCCUUGACCUUCCCUGAGUUCCAAAGGGUAGGUUCAAACAGUUGCUAAUCAGGGAAGGGAGGGGAUGUGGAGACCCCUGGAGAAGAAGUCAACAAACAAUAGUGCAGCUUUGGGGCAGGGUCCUGGUCCCUCCUCAAAGAAUAUAGAUAAUAAUAUCUUUGAGUUCUUCUGCAGACUGAAAACCCACAACAAAUGGAAGAUGUUAAUGAAGUAUUCUUCAUUUGGAAAGAAGACCACCAGACUAUUGAACACCAGCUUUGAAAACAAUGCAAGCGAGCCUCUAAACUGAUCCUUAUCUGUGGUCUAUUUUCUAUUCCCAAACUGUAAAACCACCUCCUAAUCUCCUCUAAGUAGGGACACACUCUUUAGGGCAUUAUCCUCUUGUGACCUUCCUUUGCCUGGCAGAGCAAUAAAGCUUUUUUUUUUCUCCUUCACCCAAAA